AGACAGAAUUCCAUUAGUAUCACAGUAUCUCAGUCCGUAAGUUACAUAUUUUUGUCCCCUGACAAAAGGUAUAAACGGUCAGUAAGUUAUUUUUUUGUCCCCUGACAGAAGGUAUGAACGGUCAGUAAGUUAUUUUUUUGUCCCCUGACAGAAGGUAUGAACGGUCAGUAAGUUAUUUUUUUGUCCCCUGACAGAAGGUAUGAACGGUCAGUAAGUUAUUUUUUUGUCCCCUGACAGAAGGUAUGAACGGUCAGUAAGUUAUUUUUUUGUCCCCUGACAGAAGGUAUGAACGGUCAGUAAGUUAUUUUUUUGUCCCCUGACAGAAGGUAUGAACGGUCAGUAAGUUAUUUUUUUGUCCCCUGACAGAAGGUAUGAACGGUCAGUAAGUUAUUUUUUUGUCCCCUGACAGAAGGUAUGAACGGUCAGUAAGUUAUUUUUUUGUCCCCUGACAGAAGGUAUG